UAUGUAAAGAAAAUUAAAGAAGUGCCCUAAGAACAAGUUAGGGAACUGUUGCUUUCUUAUAAAAACGUGAGAAGUAUUGAAAUGCAGGUCUUCUUGCUAUUUUUAGUUUCUCCUUAGUAUGUUACCAAUAAUAUUCAAAACCAAAAUAUUUAUUAGGUUAGGUCAUAAAUAACAUACUGAAAAAACUUCUUGAGCUUAUAUUCGUAAAGUUUCCUGCGACUGAAGCAGAAUCAUUCUCGGAGAUCUUAUAGCAUGGGACCCCACUGUAAACAGUGCGUGUCCAAAGGAGGUGCGUCAAAUGGAUUUCCUGCUGCUGAUAAACCGAAAUACAGUUGCUUUUCAGACGGACUUUCUGCACCAGAGCCCGAAACUAAGGCCACGUAGUGCUUGGAUCGGCGAGAUGAGUGCCUGAGUGCUCGACUCUCUGCUUUUCGGCGGUGAUAAGUGGACGCGGCCAAUGGGCCACGCAGGCAGAUUCCGGAGCUGAGUGAUAACUAUCGGCCGUUCUGGCUGAUAAGCUCCACCAUAAUAGUGCGAAAUUUAAGCUGCUAUCAGUCGGAUUUCGAUUGGGUGAAAGGUUGGGAACUGGCGAAUGAGAAAGAGGGAUCUCAACCGAGGAGCAGCAGAGACAGAGACCAUGCACUUGUUCGACCAAAGCUGUUUUCUAAAUCAAUGCCCAACGAGUUUUCGUAGCCUACAUUUUCCUCUUCACCGAAAGAACAACAAAGAUAUGGCUGCCUCUUUAUUGAGUGUAUCUUUGUAUGUAUGGACAGAGGCUGUGGCAGGAUUUAUAAAAAGGGAUAAUUGCAGUUGUUGUAGGAGUCAUAAGCCU
rnacentral:sRNA from 1 species